GUCUGUAUUGGAUCAGAUCAAGUAACAGAGUCAUUGUGAUGUAUUGAUUGGACAUGUUCUAAUAGUUUCAGCGCUUUGGACAGAUGUUUGCUGUGGUUUAAAAUGAAGACUGUAUUCUCUGUAGGUGAAUAUGGAAGGGUGGUUAGAGUUUCCCCCGGUCUCCAGUAAAGUGGAGCAGCAGAAGAUCCAGCUCUGAUCAGCAGCUCCACACCUUUGUACUCAGACUGCUCUGCUGGAGGAACACCAUCAGCUCACCUGCUGCAGAACUGAAUGCUGUCCUGUUCCCAGGUCAUCUUCUGAUCCCAUUGUCAACUUAACUACCUGAUUUGAAGUUUUUGAAGUUGCACAAAUACCAUCAGAAGAUUUCAAACAGAUAUUAAGUUGCUGAAUGAAGAGGAGAACAUGGCAUCCAGAGAAAUCUCUAACGUUCAGAAAACGCCCGCUUCAACACCUCACAAACAAAUGCGGAAAAAUAGAGGCAAGAAGAAAACUCACAUCUGUUCAGACUGUGGCAAAAGUUUUAAUAGCCAGAGAGAUCUCACAACACACCAGCGCAUUCACACUGGAGAGAAACCAUUUCAUUGUUUAGACUGUGGAAAGAGAUUUAAUCAACAGAUUCAUCUCAGUAGACACCGGCUCACUCACACAGGAGAGAAACCGUUUCACUGUUCAGAGUGUGGAAAGAGUUUUAAUCAACAGAUUUAUCUCAAAAUACACCAGCGCAUUCACACUGGAGAGAAACCGUAUCACUGCUCAGACUGUGGGAGGAGUUUUACUAUACAGGGUAACUUCAAAAAACAUCAGCGCCUUCACACUGGAGAGAAUCUUUAUCACUGCUCAGAUUGUGGAAAGAGUUUUAAUCAUUGGGGUAAUUUCCAGCGACACCAGUACAUUCACACAGGAGUAAAACCAUAUCACUGCUCAGACUGCGGGAAGAGUUUUAAUCAUCGGGGUAAUUUCCAGCAACACCGUCUCAUUCACACAGGAGAGAAACCGUAUCACUGUUCAGACUGUGGGAAGAGUUUUAAUCAUCGGUGUAAUUUCCAGCGACAUCGUCAAAUUCACACAGGAGUAACAGACAUCCCAAGUUGCAAAAGUUGAUUUCCUCUCUGUUUUCUCUCUCUCCUUACCACACACGAUUACAGAAAAAAAAGUCUGUCCCCUGUGUGCGCGUUUGUGUGCAGUGCACUCUUGGGGCAUUAUAUGUGACUUGCGGGCAUCCGGGAACCACUAUCGAAAUACGGGAGACUCCCACAGCUUCAGGGAGACUUGGUUUGCCUGGAGUAAAACCAUAUCACUGUUCUACACCUGUUAUGAUAUGAUAUUGCCUACUACUUCCAUCUUAGAUCUAGUUUGGGUAGUUUUUACCAGUAACGGAUUUUAGAGCUCAGAAGCUGAUGUUUGUUGGGAGAAGUUAUUGAAGAAAGCUGGUCAUCCAGGCAAGACCUAAACCGUUCAUCUUGACUAGCAAGGUGUUGUUUUUCCAUUGUCCAAGUUUGAUGUAAUAGCUGGUUUAUAAAAUAGAUAGGUAGUUAGUUUUAUUUUUGUCAUUGCUUAGUACCAAUACACAGUGUUAGAAAUUUGGCUUUCAGGAAUCAGUAGUCAGAAUUUGUUAGAAAUAUGCCAUCCGGGUCACGGCACCAAGUUGUUAGAAAUUCGGCCUUCAGGAAUCAGGAGACGGCUUCAGAGAUGACUUGAGUUUAUUCUCGUGCAGACAGAAAAUAUACGCGGGCACAGCUUAGUUGGUUGUUGCUCCCUCUGUGUCCGCCUGACUAGUCCAUCUGACUUUCUGUCUGUUACUGUCUGACCAACUGUCUUACUGACCGAGACAUUUCAGUAGGACUUUACAUACAGUAAAAACUGCUUUGAACACAGCAGGGGGAUGAAAGGUAGGGGUUUAGGUAGGAGUAUGUGGGGGGUGUCUUCAUUGGGCCUUGAUGGUCAUCAGAUGGUCGUCACCUUGAUUGGGAUUUCAAAUUAUAAUAUUAAUGACUUUUAAACAAAGGAGGCAAUGUUGACUAUCUGCAGAGACAGAUGGCCAUCAACUAUCUUCAGCAAUGAUAAAGAGUAUGAAGUGUAAAGAGGUAUAGGGGGGUAGGGUGUAAGUAAGUGUAGAACCUAUGUAAAGCACAAUUUGUAAUUAACAAACUCACAAUGUUGAAAACUUAAUAAAAGUACAAUUUGUUGUUGACAGAAUCUCUCAACAGCAACACCAUGCAGUUAGCAUGAGCAUUUAGCAAAAGUGCAAAAGUACCACAUUAUCACAACAAUGGCAAUAAGUACAUGUCUACGAAUAAUAUGUUAAAUAUAAUUAGAUGCACAGUUUCCAACUAAAGUGAGUACUUCCCCAACAUUUCAUCAGAUAUUUUAUCCUAUCUUUGCAUGUGACAACACUACAGAAUUAAAACUUCGAUAUAGCUUGGAUUCCUCAGGAAGGAUGUUUUGGGCUGUUAUCAAGUUGGUAAACUGCUGUGUGGCCCAUUUUGCUUCAGAGUGUUACAGUACAGGUUGGAAUUCGUGUUUUUGUCAAUGAACACCAUUCUCUAGUUACGGCAGCACUCUGGCAGCCCCAGAACAUGAUACUACCACCAGCAUGCUCGACUGUAGACAAGGCACAGUUAUUGCAGUACUCCUCACCAAGGCACCGCCACACAUACUGGACACCAUCUGAGCCAAACAAGUUUAUUUUAGUCUCUGCAGAUCACAGGACAUGGUUCCAGUGGUUCAUGCUCUUUGACUGUUUGAAUAAAAAGGUAAUUUUUUUGUGGAAUCAGGGAGGUCAGAGUGUUUUCAUCAGCAGUGAGAGCUGUGAGGAGAACGUGACCCUGAGUGUCUGAGAAGCUUCUCUGCUGUUCUGGGACCAGUGUAUAUGAACUUGGCUACAACAAGCUAACCGAGUGAAGUGCUUGAAACCUCUCCUCAGAUAGCCAGCGCAUGUCUGUUCUACACGGCGUAAAGUUAUACACAAGCCAUAAGAUCUUUCCAUCCACUCUUUUUUUUCCCCCGUUUAACUUCUCAGAGACAUGAGGAUCCUAACAUGAUACACAAGGACUGGUUGCUGUGUUUAUGAAGGACACAGAGCUGAACAACACCAUGAUGAAAACUUGUUGCUCAGACAGGCUGGAGCGGAUCACGUCAUCAGAACAAGACAACAAGCUGUUAACUGGAUUCUAUUGAUCUAGACAUAAUAAUGGACUCAAUCCAAUCCCCCCCCCCUUUUCAGUUUCUUUACUGCCUAAGUUGGUACUGCCCCUUUAAGAGAGGGAGCUAGUUUGAGGGUGCUGCUGUGAAGAGCUGCUGCUGUGAGGAGUUGCUGCUGCUGUAAAGAGAGUAUUUUCACCUUAAAAAGGUUCCUUGUGUGUGCUGAACUCAUUUUUUACUGAACUCAAUCUUUCAUUGAGUAUUUUUUUGUCUUUUGCUGCAUUAUUUGGAUGAUUGUACAGAAGUUUGGAGGUUGUGCUAAACUCCCUCAUGUAGCUUUAUUAGUUAUUAGAAGCACAGCCAACAAAGGUAGAAGCCUUGUCAAAUAUUGCACCCUUGGUAUGUUGCAGUUGAUUUUAUGUCAAAGUGUAAAAUAAGCGAAAGUGUUUUAUUUGUGUUAUAUUGUAGCUUAUAUUUUCCCUAAUUAAGCUAGACUCUGCAAUGCUAAGUAUAAACACUCUGUUUCACAAAUGUAUGCUAGACUGAUGUAAAUGUAUCUUUUUGAGUGCUGAUUCUACAUUGUUGUUAGUCAUGUAACUUGCAUUUAGGUGUAAAGUGUAUUUUUUUUUGUUUUUGUUUUAUAUUUUAUAGUUUUCACGGUGCUGAUUACGGUGUUCAUCUGAGAUAGAGACAUACUUGUCCAUCUACUGGAUUUAAAGACUCUGUGUUUUAUUUGAUGCCAAGGGCUGCUACAUACUCUUUUCUAAAGUUUAUUUUUAUUUACGUUCAUUUUAUAUAUCUGUAAUGCAGAAACAAAUUUUCCAAUAAACUUUCUUUUACAAUAUUUUAAAUUAGAAAAA